GAUGAACGCUAGCGGCAGGCCUAAUACAAGCAAGUCGAACGGUGUCUUCGGACAUAGUGGCGCACGGGUGCGUAACACGUACGCAACCUACCUUACAUUGGGGGAUAGACUUUCGAAAGGGAGAUUAAUACCGCAUAAGACAGUAGCUGGGCAUCCAGCAGCUGUUAAAGAUUUAUCGAUGUAAGCUGGGCAUGCGUCCAAUUAGCUAGUUGGUGAGGUAACGGCACACCAAGGCAAUGAUUGGUAGUGGAACUGAGAGGUCAAUCCCCCACGUUGGCAGUGUGCAACGGGGCGGAUGCGUACUGGAGAGAGCAUUAGGAAUGUUUGGGCAAUGGACGCAAGUCUGACCCAUCCAUGCCGCGUGCAGAAUGAAGGCGUUAUGCGUUGUAUUCUGCUUCUAUACAGGAUGAAACGACUCUUGCGGGACGCAUGGACGGUACUCUAUGACUACGCACCGGCGAACUCCGUGCCAUCAGCCGCGGCAACAC
rnacentral:rRNA from 1 species